rnacentral:tRNA from 1 species
GCACAGUUAGUUCAGUUGGUAGAGCAUGGGACCCUUGAUCUCAGGGUUGUGGGUUCAAGCCUGCAGUGAGCA